GGAUAAUACCGGAUAUGGAACGAAGUGUGGAAUCCUUUCAUUCCUGAAAGAUUCGUCACUCCAGGAUCGGUCGGCGGCCCAUCAGGUAGUUGGUGAGGUAACGGCUCACCAAGCCUAUGACGGGUAAGGGCCAUGAGAGUGGUUGCCCUGGGAGGGACACUGAGAUACUGGUCCCAGCCCCACGGGGUGCAGCAGUCGCGAAAACUCCGCAAUGCGCGCAAGCGUGACGGGGGGAUUCUGAGUGCUUUGGUCUAACCAAGGCUUUUCGUGGGGGUUAAUACCUCGCGGAAUAAGUGGUGGGCAAGACUGGUGCCAGCCGCCGCGGUAACCCCAGCGCCACAAGUGGGAACCACGUUUAUUGGGUCUAAAGCAUCCGUAGCCGGCUUGUUAAAUGCCCUGUGAAAUCGUUCUGCCUAACAGGACGGCGUGCAGGGUAGACUGGCAAGCUAGGAACCAGGAAAGGUAUGCGGUAUUCUGUGGGGAACGGUAAAAUGUUAUAAUCCACAGAGGACCACCGAUGGCGAAGGCAGCAUACUUGAAUGGAUUCGACGGUGAGGGAUGAAAGCCAGGGGAGCGAUCCGGAUUAGAUACCCCGAGUAGUCCUGGGCCGUAAACGCUGCGUGGCCAGAUGUUUGCACAAUCCUUCGCGAUUGGUCAAGUGUCCGCAACCGAAAGGUGUUUAAGCACCGCCACCCUGGGGAAAGUACGGGUCCGCAAAGUCUUGAAAACUUUAAAAGGGAAUUUGGGCGGGGGGGAAGCAC
rnacentral:rRNA from 1 species